rnacentral:lncRNA from 1 species
GGGUGGUCCCACGCUGUCAAGAUUUUUGGUAUCUUUUUUUUCACCGCCCGUAGACUACAGGAAUUAUCUUUCCUUUUUUUCUUCUAACAUUUACUUGUAUAAAUCAAAUCCUAUAGAAAUUCUUUUUUUUUUUUUUGCACAUCUCCAAUAUGUGCAAUACGUAGUAAAAGUAGCGUGCAAAGAAUUAGUUUGAAGUUAAUUUAUUUUUCCGUAACAACAACCAAUCAGUCAGUAAACUUCAUAUUUUAAUAUGUUGUGUACAGUAACUAUUUUACGUUCCUGUAGGAAAGUGCCAGAUAACAGAUUUUGUAAAACUUCCCCGUUGUUAUAAUACUUGAAUAAACGGUAUUUAUUGAAUUAGCUUUAAAUUUCUAAUAACGUGCAUGUAACAUGUUUCCAAAAACAAAAGCAAACAGGUUUUUUCUGAACUCAUGAGUAAUUUCUAAUAGAAUGUUGGCUUAACAGUCCGUCAGUCAGUGCACAUCCCUUCCGUGAUAUUUAACCAGUCUAGAGAUGUUCCGAAAAU